GAGUAUUACACUCCCUAACCCAUCGCGAACAUACCUAUAGUUGCUUCGGCGGUGCUGCCCCCGGAACCCCUCGGGGCGAAGGAUCAGGCGCCCGCCGAAGGCCCCAAACCUCUGAAUCUACCAAUGUGUAAUCUCUGAGUGGCGAAAGCAAAAAAACGAAUCAAAACUUUCAACAACGGAUCUCUUGGUUCU
rnacentral:misc_RNA from 1 species